GAGGCAACAUUGACUUUGUUUUAGUUUGGGAAUCCUUAUUAUUGGUUCAUAAGUUGGAUCAGAGAACACUGGGACAAGAAGGAUCUGAGAGAUAUUCAGUCUUCAGCCCAGCCUCGUAGAUUUAUAGAUAAGAAGCAGAAGCCCAGAAAGCUUAAGUGACCCCCACAAGCACACAUUGCUGGCUCUUCUGGACACAUCCCUAGACUUCAGAGAUACAGCAAGAAAGUUGAUUCUCACUCUUUUCUGCUACUGAACAGAAAGCAUGAAAAUGACCAUGGAGCUGUAUAAUUGGCCCUGAAGAAGAAACAAAGAGUCAUCUCAGCACUGAUUGCAUCUGGAAAAGAACCAUGUGACUCAAUAGAUGCAGAGAAAGCCUUUGACAAAAUUCAACAUCCAUUUAUGAUAAAAACUCUCCAGAAAGCAGGAAUAGAAGGAACAUACCUCAACAUAAUCAAAGCUAUAUAUGACAAACCCAC